CCCUUAGCCUGGUAGUAGGACAGCCCACAGUUUCUUAAAAACUGCAGUACAACCAUAAAGCAGUGAGGUUUUUAAGACACCCACGUUUGUGCUGAACGCGUAUCAAGCGUAAGAUCUCCAAAACAUGGAGGCUGCAACUUCGGCGUCCUCUUCAAACAAUGCGUAACACUCACUAGAGGUGCCCCCGCGCAGAGGGCGCGGUACAAGCGGGUGCGGUGCCGGCCCGACGCCUGGAGCCCCAACUGCGUGGAGGAGACGGGGCCGUGGUUCCAGCUGCCCGACGGAGCGGCCAACAGGAUCCUGCCGCCCCUGGCCAACCCUGCUCUGAUGAAGACGUACCAGGAGCUGGGCGACGCCUUCCCGCUCUCCGAGGAGCAGUCGGGCUCGGGCUGGGACGCGGCGCUGGAGAUGGCCUCAGGCUCCGGAGCUGAGGCCUUUCCCGUUGUCGGGGCCGCCCGCCGCCCGGAGCUGCCGGCGGAGCUGGGGCAGCGGCUGCAGGAGGAGGCCCUGCUGCCGUAGCGCCUCGGCGCCGUGACGGACCGUCCCCAACCCAUCCCCGGCUCAAUAAAACCGCUGCCUUACGACCCU
rnacentral:lncRNA from 7 species